AUUGAACGCUGGCGGCAUGCUCUACACAUGCAAGUCGAACGGUAACAGGCCGCAAGGUGCUGACGAGUGGCGAACGGGUGAGUAAUGCAUCGGAACGUGCCCAGUCGUGGGGGAUAACUACUCGAAAGAGUAGCUAAUACCGCAUACGAUCUAUGGAUGAAAGCGGGGGACCGUAAGGCCUCGCGCGAUUGGAGCGGCCGAUGUCAGAUUAGGUAGUUGGUGGGGUAAAGGCUCACCAAGCCAACGAUCUGUAGCUGGUCUGAGAGGACGACCAGCCACACUGGGACUGAGACACGGCCCAGACUCCUACGGGAGGCAGCAGUGGGGAAUUUUGGACAAUGGGCGCAAGCCUGAUCCAGCAAUGCCGCGUGCAGGAAGAAGGCCUUCGGGUUGUAAACUGCUUUUGUACGGAACGAAACGGCUCUGGUUAAUACCCGGGGCUAAUGACGGUACCGUAAGAAUAAGCACCGGCUAACUACGU
rnacentral:rRNA from 1 species